AAACUGAAGAGUUUGAUCCUGGCUCAGAUUGAACGCUGGCGGCAUGCCUUACACAUGCAAGUCGAACGGCAGCGCGG
rnacentral:rRNA from 1 species